rnacentral:rRNA from 1 species
GACGAACGCUGGCGGCGUGCUUAACACAUGCAAGUCGAACGGAAAGGCCCUGCUUUUGUGGGGUGCUCGAGUGGCGAACGGGUGAGUAACACGUGAGUAACCUGCCCUUGACUUUGGGAUAACUUCAGGAAACUGGGGCUAAUACCGGAUAGGAGCUCCUGCUGCAUGGUGGGGGUUGGAAAGUUUCGGCGGUUGGGGAUGGACUCGCGGCUUAUCAGCUUGUUGGUGGGGUAGUGGCUUACCAAGGCUUUGACGGGUAGCCGGCCUGAGAGGGUGACCGGCAACAUUGGGACUGAGAUACGGCCCAGACUCCUACGGGAGGCAGCAGUGGGGAAUAUUGCACAAUGGGCGGAAGCCUGAUGCAGAAACGCCGCGUGCGGGAGGACGGCCUUCGGGUUGUAAACCGCUUUCGCCUGUGACGAAGCGUGAGUGACGGUAAUGGGUAAAGAAGCACCGGCUAACUACGU